rnacentral:rRNA from 1 species
ACGUAGGUGGCGAGCGUUGUUCGGAUUUACUGGGCGUAAAGGGCGCGUAGGCGGCCAGCACAAGUCAGUUGUGAAAUCUCCGAGCUUAACUCGGAAAGGUCAACUGAUACUGUGCGGCUAGAGUGCGGAAGGGGCAACUGGAAUUCUUGGUGUAGCGGUGAAAUGCGUAGAUAUCAAGAGGAACACCUGCGGCGAAGGCGGGUUGCUGGGCCGACACUGACGCUGAGGCGCGAAAGCCAGGGGAGCGAACGGGA